rnacentral:rRNA from 1 species
GACGAACGCUGGCGGCGUGCUUAACACAUGCAAGUCGAACGAUGAAGCCUAGCUUGCUAGGUGGAUUAGUGGCGAACGGGUGAGUAAUACGUGAGUAACCUACCUUUAACUCUGGGAUAAGCCCGGGAAACUGGGUCUAAUACCGGAUACGACCAAUCUCCGCAUGGGGUGUUGGUGGAAAGCGUUAUGUAGUGGUUAUAGAUGGGCUCACGGCCUAUCAGCUUGUUGGUGAGGUAACGGCUCACCAAGGCGACGACGGGUAGCCGGCCUGAGAGGGUGACCGGCCACAGUGGGAAGGAGAACGGGCCGGGACCCCUGCGGGGGGAGGGGGGGGGAAAUUGUGAACAGGGGGCGCAAGCCGGAUGCAGCGCCGCCGCGUGGGGGAGGACGGCCUGCGGUUUGAAACCCUUUGUUGGCAGGAAAGAAGGGAGAUGGAGGGUCCUGGAAGAGAAGGCGCCGGCAAACUAGGGC